GACGAACGCUGGCGGCGUGCCUAAUACAUGCAAGUUGAGCGCUGAAGGUUGGUACUUGUACCGACUGGAUGAGCAGCGAACGGGUGAGUAACGCGUGGGGAAUCUGCCUUUGAGCGGGGGACAACAUUUGGAAACGAAUGCUAAUACCGCAUAAAAACUUUAAACACAAGUUUUAAGUUUGAAAGAUGCAAUUGCAUCACUCAAAGAUGAUCCCGCGUUGUAUUAGCUAGUUGGUGAGGUAAAGGCUCACCAAGGCGAUGAUACAUAGCCGACCUGAGAGGGUGGACGGCCACAUUGGGACUGGGACACGGCCCAAACUCCUACGGGAGGCAGCAGUAGGGAAUCUUCGGCAAUGGAGGAAAGUCUGACCGAGCAACGCCGCGUGAGUGAAGAAGGUUUUCGGAUCGGAAAACUCUGUUGGUAGAGAAGAACGUUGGUGAGAGUGGAAAGCUCAUCAAGUGACGGUAACUACCCAGAAAGGGACGGCUAACUACGUG
rnacentral:rRNA from 1 species